GACUAACGGCCGUUUUCAAUAACGUAUCUGAGUUUUCGGAUAGAUAGCUAUCUCCGAAUAUCAGCAAGAGCGUAUCUAUCCUUAGUUUGCGUUUCACAAUCACGGAUAAGUGCUAUCUCUCUUUAACCAACAGUAGAUAGCUUCUUCCCUCCGAUUUAUCCGAGCCUCUUGAUACGUUUCGUUCUACUACAAAUACGAAACAACAUCAGGAUCAAGACUUAUUUUAUUUUAUUCUAAAUUAUAACUAUAAUUUAACCAGCAUAUUGUAGACUAUCAUAAACACAUUUGUUUAUAACAAAAAGUAAUAAAAACAUAUGUAGAUUUUUUUAAAUUGGACGUAUUGCUAUUUUUAUCCUAGUCGAAAUUAUGAAACGAAACGUUUUGACAGUCCGUUUGCCAAUAAGCAGUGAUCAGUUUCUUUUGUUUGUUUUUCUAUUGUUUACCUACUAUAUUCAAUGAUGACUUACCUCCAAAACGCUUUAAAACUUUCGUUUAUAAUUCUAAGUGUGUUUAUAAUUAAAGAGCUACAGUGAAAUAAAAUGAAUUCUGUAAGUAUCUAUGAACUACAUUGAUAAUAAUAAUUUUACUUUGAAAACUUUGAGUUCAAGUUUAGAAAAUAUAUCUUUUUCAGUCAAGAAAGGCAGCACCCAUGACAAAAGAUGAGACGAUGAUUCUAGCAGAACUUGUGGCGGUGAAAAAACACAUCAAUAAUAAGGCAACAAAUGCCACAAACAAUAAAUUGAAGCAGCAGGCUUGGCCAACCCUUGUAAAUGAUUUUAAUUCGUCGAUUCGUCGUUUCCCAUGAACUCCAUCGCAGCUUCGACUAAAAUGGGAAAACUUAAAAAACGCUACGGCAACAUAAGAAACAACCUUAGUAAGGCUGGAGGUGGUAAGGAUUGCAGAUGAAAUUUUGGAUAAAGCAUGCACAUUGUUGUAGGUCACAUAUAUUUUUAACACUUUUACAGCCAAGCGGAAACAAGAUGGAAGAAAAGAAAUGCAAUGUAUUAGCAGAAUAUCUAAUAGCAAAAAAGAGGCUUGAUUUGGAAAAUGAAGAAAAGGAGAUUGUUGUAGCAAAACUUAAGUUAGAUUUAGAUAAUGCUAGAUUAAAAAAAUAAAAAUUACUUAAAAGGAUUUCAUAAAUUAAGUAGGCAAUAAUAAUUUUAUGUUAGAUAGUUUUUUAAGUAUAUGUACAAAUUCUAAAUUAAAUAUCUUGCAUGUACUAACCACUAUGUAAUUAUCAUUUUGGAAAAUAAAAAAUAGUCAAAUUAU